UACGGGGGGGGUAAGCGUUGUUCGGAAUUACUGGGCGUAAAGGGCUCGUAGGCGGCCAACUAAGUCAGACGUGAAAUCCCUCAGCUUAACUGGGGAACUGCGUCUGAUACUGGAUGGCUUGGAUCCGGGAGAGGGAUGCGGAAUUCCAGGUGUAGCGGUGAAAUGCGUAGAUAUCUGGAGGAAUACCGGUGGCGAAGGCGGCAUCCUGGACCGAGAUUGACACUGAUGAGCGAAAGCCAGGGGAGCAAACGGG
rnacentral:rRNA from 1 species